rnacentral:rRNA from 1 species
GACGAACGCUGGCGGCGUGCUUAACACAUGCAAGUCGAACGGAAAGGCCCUGCUUUUGUGGGGUGCUCGAGUGGCGAACGGGUGAGUAACACGUGAGCAACCUGCCCUUGACUUUGGGAUAACUUCAGGAAACUGGGGCUAAUACCGGAUAGGAGCUCCUGCUGCAUGGUGGGGGUUGGAAAGUUUCUGCGGUUGCGGAUGGACUCGCGGCUUAUCAGCUUGUUGGUGGGGUAGUGGCUUACCAAGGCUGUGACGGGUAGCCGGCCUGAGAGGGUGACCGGCCACAUUGGGACUGAGAUACGGCCCAGACUCCUACGGGAGGCAGCAGUGGGGAAUAUUGCACAAUGGGCGGAAGCCUGAUGCAGCAACGCCGCGUGCGGGAUGACGGCCUUCGGGUUGUAAACCGCUUUCGGCUGCGACGAAGCGUGAGUGACGGUAACGGGUAAAGAAGCACCGGCUAACUACGUG